AUUGAACGCUGGCGGCAGGCCCAACACAUGCAAGUCGAACGGUAACAGGAAGAAGCUUGCUUCUUUGCUGACGAGUGGCGGACGGGUGAGUAAUGUCUGGGAAACUGCCUGAUGGAGGGGGAUAACUACUGGAAACGGUAGCUAAUACCGCAUAACGUCGCAAGACCAAAGAGGGGGACCUUCGGGCCUCUUGCCAUCGGAUGUGCCCAGAUGGGAUUAGCUAGUAGGUGGGGUAACGGCUCACCUAGGCGACGAUCCCUAGCUGGUCUGAGAGGAUGACCAGCCACACUGGAACUGAGACACGGUCCAGACUCCUACGGGAGGCAGCAGUGGGGAAUAUUGCACAAUGGGCGCAAGCCUGAUGCAGCCAUGCCGCGUGCAUGAAGAAGGCCUUCGGGUUGUAAAGUACUUUCAGCGGGGAGGAAGGGAGUAAAGUUAAUACCUUUACUCAUUGACGUUACCCGCAGAAGAAGCACCGGCUAACUCCGUG
rnacentral:rRNA from 1 species